rnacentral:rRNA from 1 species
GGGCCCGCACAAGCGGUGGAGUAUGUGGUUUAAUUCGAUGCAACGCGAAGAACCUUACCAGGGUUUGACAUCCUGCGAAUCUCUUGGAAACGAGAGAGUGCCUUCGGGAACGCAGUGACAGGUGGUGCAUGGCUGUCGUCAGCUCGUGUCGUGAGAUGUUGGGUUAAGUCCCGCAACGAGCGCAACCCACGUCUUUAGUUGCCAGCAUUUAGUUGGGCACUCUAGAGAGACUGCCGGUGAUAAACCGGAGGAAGGUGGGGAUGACGUCAAGUCCUCAUGGCCUUUAUGUCCAGGGCUACACACGUACUACAAUGGUCGAUACAAAGGGCUGCGAGCACGCGAGUGUAAGCUAAUCCCAGAAAGUCGAUCUCAGUUCAGAUCGUAGGCUGCAACUCGCCUACGUGAAGGAGGAAUCGCUAG